rnacentral:tRNA from 1 species
GCCCGGUUAGCUCAGCCGGUAGAGCGUUGGAUCUUUUAACUCGCAACGGUCAAGGGUUCAAGUCCCUUAUCGGGCU